UAUUGGGCAAUGCCCGCAAGGGUGACCCAGCAACGCCGCGUGGAGGAUGAAUGCCGUAAGGUUGUAAACUCCUGUUAGAGGGGAAGAACAAUCCCGAUAAAAUCGGGAUCUGACUGUACCCUCAGAGAAAGCCCCGGCUAACUACGUUCCAGCAGCCGCGGUAAUACGUAGGGGGCAAGCGUUGUCCGGAUUUACUGGGUGUAAAGGGCGCGCAGGUGGAUUUUCAAGUCAGAGGUGAAAUCUCACGGCUUAACCGUGAAAUUGCCUUUGAUACUGUUAAUCUUGAGUUCGGAAGAGAGAGAUGGAAUUCCAGGUGUAGUGGUGAAAUACGUAGAUAUCUGGAAGAACACCAGUUGCGAAGGCGAUCUCUUGGUCCGAUACUGACACUCAGGCGCGAAAGCGUGGGUAGCAAACAGG
rnacentral:rRNA from 1 species